UUGACGGGGCCGCACAAGCAGCGGAGCAUGUGGCUUAAUUCGACGCAACGCGAAGAACCUUACCAGGUCUUGACAUCCCCUGACAACCCGAGAGAUCGGGCGUUCCCCUUCGGGGGACAGGGUGACAGGUGGUGCAUGGUUGUCGUCAGCUCGUGUCGUGAGAUGUUGGGUUAAGUCCCGCAACGAGCGCAACCCUCGACCUUAGUUGCCAGCAUUCAGUUGGGCACUCUAAGGUGACUGCCGGCUAAAAGUCGGAGGAAGGUGGGGAUGACGUCAAAUCAUCAUGCCCCUUAUGACCUGGGCUACACACGUGCUACAAUGGGCGGUACAAAGGGUCGCGAACCCGCGAGGGGGAGCCAAUCCCAAAAAGCCGCUCUCAGUUCGGAUUGCAGGCUGCAACUCGCCUGCAUGAAGCCGGAAUCGCUAGUAAUCGCGGAUCAGCAUGCCGCGGUGAAUACGUUCCCGGGCCUU
rnacentral:rRNA from 1 species